rnacentral:rRNA from 1 species
AGGAGAGUUUGAUCCUGGCUCAGGAUGAACGCUAGCGACAGGCUUAACACAUGCAAGUCGAGGGGCAGCGCGGAGGUAGCAAUACUUCUGGCGGCGACCGGCGCACUGGUGAGUAACACGUAUGCGACCUGCCCCGGACAGGGGGAUAAACCCGGGAAACUGGGCCUAAUACCCCAUAUGUAUCGAGGACGCAUGUCCUUGAUAUGAAAGAUCCGUCGGUCCGGGAUGGGCAUGCGGCGCAUUAGCUGGUUGGCGGGGCAACGGCCCACCAAGGCGACGAUGCGUAGGGGUUCUGAGAGGAAGGUCCCCCACACUGGUACUGAGACACGGACCAGACUCCUACGGGAGGCAGCAGUGAGGAAUAUUGGUCAAUGGACGGUAGUCUGAACCAGCCAAGUCGCGUGCGGGACGAAGGCCCUCCGGGUCGUAAACCGCUUUAGCCGGGGAGUAACGUGCAGGACGUGUCCUGCAGUGAGAGUACCCGGAGAAUAAGCAUCGGCUAACUCCGUGCCAGCAGCCGCGGUAAUACGGAGGAUGCGAGCGUUAUCCGGAUUUAUUGGGUUUAAAGGGUGCGCAGGCGGCAGGUCAAGUCAGCGGUCAAACCCCUCGCUCAACGCCGUACCGCCGUUGAAACUGGCCGGCUCGAGUGCGUGGGAGGAUGGCGGAAUGCGCGGUGUAGCGGUGAAAUGCAUAGAUAUCGCGCAGAACCCCGAUUGCGAAGGCAGCUGUCCAUCACGCCACUGACGCUCAUGCACGAAAGCGUGGGUAUCGAACAGGAUUAGAUACCCUGGUAGUCCCCU